rnacentral:rRNA from 1 species
GGGGAAAAAACGGGGGGAACCCCCUCUAAAAGGGUGGAAACUUCGGGAAACCGGGGGUUUAACCCGGGGUCUUAGAUGACCCCCUGGGUCUAAUUAAAAAGGGGUGUUUUAGCUACCCUUUCCAGGGGGCCCCGCGGCCCUUUAGUUAGUUGGUGAGGAAAGGGUUCCACAAGGGAAAGGAUGGGUAGCCGCCCUGAGAGGGGGAUUGGCCAACAUGGGGAUUGAGACCCGGCCCAAAAUUCCUACGGGAGGCAGCAGUAGGGAAUCUUCCGCAAUGGACGAAAGUCUGACGGAGCAACGCCGCGUGAGUGAUGAAGGUUUUCGGAUCGUAAAACUCUGUUGUUAGGGAAGAACAAGUACCGUUCGAAUAGGGCGGUACCUUGACGGUACCUAACCAGAAAGCCACGGCUAACUACGUGCCAGCAGCCGCGGUAAUACGUAGGUGGCAAGCGUUGUCCGGAAUUAUUGGGCGUAAAGCGCGCGCAGGCGGUUUCUUAAGUCUGAUGUGAAAGCCCCCGGCUCAACCGGGGAGGGUCAUUGGAAACUGGGGAACUUGAGUGCAGAAGAGGAGAGUGGAAUUCCACGUGUAGCGGUGAAAUGCGUAGAGAUGUGGAGGAACACCAGUGGCGAAGGCGACUCUCUGGUCUGUAACUGACGCUGAGGCGCGAAAGCGUGGGGAGCGAACAGGAUUAGAUACCCUGGUAGUCCACGCCGUAAACGAUGAGUGCUAAGUGUUAGAGGGUUUCCGCCCUUUAGUGCUGCAGCAAACGCAUUAAGCACUCCGCCUGGGGAGUACGGUCGCAAGACUGAAACUCAAAGGAAUUGACGGGGGCCCGCACAAGCGGUGGAGCAUGUGGUUUAAUUCGAAGCAACGCGAAGAACCUUACCAGGUCUUGACAUCCUCUGACAACCCUAGAGAUAGGGCUUCCCCUUCGGGGGCAGAGUGACAGGUGGUGCAUGGUUGUCGUCAGCUCGUGUCGUGAGAUGUUGGGUUAAGUCCCGCAACGAGCGCAACCCUUGAUCUUAGUUGCCAGCAUUCAGUUGGGCACUCUAAGGUGACUGCCGGUGACAAACCGGAGGAAGGUGGGGAUGACGUCAAAUCAUCAUGCCCCUUAUGACCUGGGCUACACACGUGCUACAAUGGGCAGAACAAAGGGCAGCGAAGCCGCGAGGCUAAGCCAAUCCCACAAAUCUGUUCUCAGUUCGGAUCGCAGUCUGCAACUCGACUGCGUGAAGCUGGAAUCGCUAGUAAUCGCGGAUCAGCAUGCCGCGGUGAAUACGUUCCCGGGCCUUGUACACACCGCCCGUCACACCGCAGAGAGUAGUAUCUAGAGAUUGUUCGUGACUCACUAACUAGUGACAAGGUCGCUUGUUAGAAGGU